CAGCCGCCGCGGUAAUACCGGCGGCCCGAGUGGCGGUCACUAUUAUUGGGCUUAAAGCGUCCGUAGCCGGGUUGGGAAGUCCUCCGGGAAAUCUGGCCGCUUAACGGUCAGAAUGCCGGAGGAUACUCCCAGCCUAGGGAGCGGGAGAGGCCGAGGGGAUUCCCGGAGUAGGGGGGAAAUCCUAUAAUCCCGGGAGGACCACCUGUGGCGAAGGCGCUCGGCUGGAACGCGUCCGACGGUGAGGGACGAAGGCCAGGGGAGCAAACCGGAUUAGAUACCCGGGUAGUCCUGGCUGUAAACGAUGCGGACGUUGUGUCGGACAAGCUAUGAGCUUGUCCGGUGCCGGAGGGAAACCGUUAAGUCCGCCGCCUGGGGAGUACGGCCGCAAGGCUGAAACUUAAAGGAAUUGGCGGG
rnacentral:rRNA from 1 species